GAUGAACGCUAGCGGCAGGCUUAACACAUGCAAGUCGAGGGGCAGCAUAAUGGAUAGCACUAUCUAUGGUGGCGACCGGCGCACGGGUGCGUAACGCGUAUGCAACCUACCUUUAACAGGGGGAUAACACUGAGAAAUUGGUACUAAUACCCCAUAAUAUCAUAGAAGGCAUCUUUUAUGGUUGAAAAUUCCGAUGGUUAGAGAUGGGCAUGCGUUGUAUUAGCUAGUUGGUGGGGUAACGGCUCACCAAGGCGACGAUACAUAGGGGGACUGAGAGGUUAACCCCCCACACGGGUACUGAGACACGGACCAGACUCCUACGGGAGGCAGCAGUGAGGAAUAUUGGUCAAUGGACGCAAGUCUGAACCAGCCAUGCCGCGUGCAGGAUGACGGCUCUAUGAGUGGUAAACUGCUUUUGUACGAGGGUAAACGCAGAUACGUGUAUCUGUCUGAAAGUAUCGUACGAAUAAGGAUCGGCUAACUCCGUG
rnacentral:rRNA from 1 species